rnacentral:lncRNA from 1 species
GACAAGCUGACGUUUAUGUCUGCUGUUCUCCUAGCUUUUAUCUUUUACCAGUGUUUCCUUUUAGGCUCUGAUGGAACAUUAGCUUCAGCGACAUUUUGCUAAAUGGAUGAGCUUCAGUGAACUCUAUUAAAUCAGCUUCAUAACUCAGCCGCCUGGUCCUUUAUCAUUCUCCUGCUCUGGCCCGCACGGCUUCCCGCUUAUCUCCCUCCAGCUUGCUGUUAUCCACGGCUGAACACAGUGUCCUUGAUGGCGCAGGCUGGCUCCUAUCUCUCUUCAUUCCUUCCUCCUCGCUCCUCCCUUCCAAGGUCCUCCCUAGACUGUUUCAGACACUGUUUGGUGCUCCCAGACAACGCUCUCAGCCAAAUCUUAUUUACCCACAGGCUUGGUGAAUUUCCAGGAAGAGGGACUGAGGCCAGGGUACUCCUGGCCCAGGAAAUUGUCAAAAGUGUCAAAAGGAUGGGGAUGUUGGAGGAGCUGGAGGAAGUUGGUGUUAUCUCAGGGGGAGCUUUCUGCUGGAGCUACUGUCUGGAACGGGCUCAGAUUCUGUUUUGAAGAAGUGCGCCCAUUGUUGACUGCCCACUGCCCUGGAGGAAUACAGCAAGCAGGGCAAAUUGUAUGGCUAAGGUUGAUUUCGUCUCUGGUAUGUGAUUAACUUGGGGAGAGGGAGAGAGAAAUAUUCACUGGGAACAAAGAAUUCAAAAUGAGUGAGGUGGACCUAGUGACAACCACACUACUUCCUACGUGAGGUUUAAUACGAAGUGAUCCUUUCUGAUGCCUGAAUUUGUCCUAGCAGGUAGCAAAGAAUGUCUAGACUCCCCAAAAGGCAAGAUAAGUCUACAGUAAGAAGUACCUGGGAUGGGGAUUUGGCUCAAUGUACCUAUUAGAAAGGCCAGUAUGGUCAGAACUAAGGCUAGACACUCUCCUGACCAGCAUCUAGUCCCUGGAGUGGGCUUUGGAGCAAUAAUCAUCUGACCCAAGGUAGAGUUUCAGGAGCGCAGGAGUCUGGAGGUGUGAUGCCCCACAGGGUAGCAGCCAGGAGCUGAAAUCUGGCCCACUGGAAUGGCUUGGUGAGUAGCCUUCUUCUUCAUUCCUGUUAUGGUUGAGACAAAGCUUCCUUCCAAAUGGGUCAUUGUGAAGCUUACUCUCUUGCUAACUAGUGGGUGGAGCCACUCACUGAGGGGUGAUUGUGUUGUGGAGGCUCUGACCUCAGUAGGGUUCAGAAUUUGUUGGUAUUAAUGUUAGGUGUGUCACCG